rnacentral:rRNA from 1 species
UGGGGAAUAUUGCACAAUGGAGGAAACUCUGAUGCAGCGACGCCGCGUGAGUGAAGAAGUAAUUCGUUAUGUAAAGCUCUAUCAGCAGGGAAGAUAGUGACGGUACCUGACUAAGAAGCUCCGGCUAAAUACGUGCCAGCAGCCGCGGUAAUACGUAUGGAGCAAGCGUUAUCCGGAUUUACUGGGUGUAAAGGGAGUGUAGGUGGCCAUGCAAGUCAGAAGUGAAAAUCCGGGGCUCAACCCCGGAACUGCUUUUGAAACUGUAAGGCUAGAGUGCAGGAGGGGUGAGUGGAAUUCCUAGUGUAGCGGUGAAAUGCGUAGAUAUUAGGAGGAACACCAGUGGCGAAGGCGGCUCACUGGACUGUAACUGACACUGAGGCUCGAAAGCGUGGGGAGCAAACAGGAUUAGAUACCCUGGUA